CACGUAGGGCGCAAGCGUUGUCCGGAAUUAUUGGGCGUAAAGGGCUCGUAGGCGGUCUGUCGCGUCGGCUGUGAAAACCCGGGGCUCAACCCCGGGCCUGCAGUCGAUACGGGCAGACUAGAGUGCGGUAGGGGAGACUGGAAUUCCUGGUGUAGCGGUGAAAUGCGCAGAUAUCAGGAGGAACACCGGUGGCGAAGGCGGGUCUCUGGGCCGUAACUGACGCUGAGGAGCGAAAGCGUGGGGAGCGAACAGG
rnacentral:rRNA from 1 species